AUGCAAGUCGAACGCGUGUAGCAAUACACGAGUGGCGCACGGGUGAGUAACACGUGGGAACCUGCCCUGGAGUGGGGGAUAACCCGGCGAAAGCCGGGCUAAUACCGCAUACGACCUGAGGGUGAAAGAUUUAUCGCUCUUGGAGGGGCCCGCGUCGGAUUAGCUAGUUGGUGAGGUAACGGCUCACCAAGGCAAUGAUCCGUAGCUGGUCUGAGAGGAUGAUCAGCCACACUGGGACUGAGACACGGCCCAGACUCCUACGGGAGGCAGCAGUGGGGAAUAUUGGACAAUGGGGGCAACCCUGAUCCAGCAAUGCCGCGUGAGUGAUGAAGGCCUUAGGGUUGUAAAGCUCUUUCGGCGGGGACGAUGAUGACGGUACCCGCAGAAGAAGCCCCGGCUAACUUCGUGCCAGCAGCCGCGGUAAUACGAAGGGGGCGAGCGUUGUUCGGAUUUACUGGGCGUAAAGGGCGCGCAGGCGGCUCUGAAAGUCAGAUGUGAAAGCCCCGGGCUUAACCUGGGAAUUGCAUUUGAUACUCUGGAGCUAGAGUACGGGAGAGGAGAGUGGAAUUCCCAGUGUAGAGGUGAAAUUCGUAGAUAUUGGGAAGAACACCGGUGGCGAAGGCGGCUCUC
rnacentral:rRNA from 1 species